UACGAAGGGUGCAAGCGUUAACCGGAAUUACUGGGCGUAAAGGGUGCGUAGGCGGUUCGUUAAGUCUGUCGUGAAAUCCCCGGGCUCAACCUGGGAAUGGCGAUGGAUACUGGCGAGCUAGAGUGUGUCAGAGGAUGGUGGAAUACCCGGUGUAGCGGUGAAAUGCGUAGAGAUCGGGAGGAACAUCAGUGGCGAAGGCGGCCAUCUGGGACAACACUGACGCUGAAGCACGAAAGCGUGGGGAGCAAACAGG
rnacentral:rRNA from 1 species